rnacentral:lncRNA from 1 species
AGAGAACUCAGAGUUUGUCCUCACACAAGGCAAGAGAGCUGGACUUUCGUACUGUACCUGUCAUUCUCCAGACUCCAGUAGCCUGAGCUGUCACCUAAGAGAGGUCCAGGUGCAGACUGUCAGAGGACAAAGAACACGGUGGCCAGGAGAAGAGCAGUCAGAAAGGAGAAGGGAGACUGAGGACGUGCAGGAAGCACUGACAAUGUCCGGGAGAGAUAAGAAAUGAUGCUACAAUGUAGUAAACAGAUCUCACAUGAAGGGAGGCCUGGCGUGCUGCAAUUCAUGAGGUCGCAAAGAGUUGGACAGACCGAGCGACUGAACUGAACUGAACAUUGCUCUCUGAGAACAGAUCAAUGCUGUUUUUCAAGUUGCAUUCAUCUUUUAGAUUCUCUGAAACAUUUGUCUGGUGUCCCAGCAGUUACCAUGCCCCUCCUCACAGCAUUUGGAAAAGCCUGCUUUAUUUUCAGAUUCUCUCCCCUGCGAAAUCUCAGCUCUUUCUUAGUCAAUACGGUCAUCAGUAACUUGUGGUACUGUAGUAAAUCUGAAGAAAGCAAGCAAAAAAUAAAAAAAUGUUUGUUGGACUCUCAGUGACCUUUGAAAAUAGUCACAAGCAAGGGGAAAACUCCAUGGAGCUGAAAGGAAAAUACCUGUGCACCAAACCCUGCCUUCCCCUUUCACAUAGCAGGUGGUCUGUGCUGCAUAACCCACUGGUCAUGUGACCAAGCCCUUGUACGGGGGCUGAGAAUGAGAGCAAUGUGAUGUGGACCACCUCCAGGCCUGGCCCUCAAAACCACCUGUGACAUUGUUAGAAUAAUCCUCCUUUAAGUAAAAACUACAUUCCUAUCAUAGCUAUUUGCUAAUCUUUAUUUCUUUCUUCUGAAGUACAUAUGAUCACUUUCUUCCAUUUGCCUUUUUCUAACUCUAAGAAUCUGUGAUUUCAUAACUAAGCUCAGCAUGCCUUUUCAAAUGACUCAGUGAUUAAAACUGAGGGCAUCCAGUUGAUCUUAGGGACUUCCCUAUUGCUCAGAUGGUAAAGAAUCUUCCUGUAAUGCAGGAAACCUGGGUUUGAUCCCUGGGUCAGGAAGAUCCCC